rnacentral:rRNA from 1 species
GAGUUUGAUCUUGGCUCAGAUUGAACGCUGGCGGCAGGCCUAACACAUGCAAGUCGAGCGGUAGAGAGAAGCUUGCUUCUCUUGAGAGCGGCGGACGGGUGAGUAAUGCCUGGGAAUCUGCCUGGUAGUGGGGGAUAACGCUCGGAAACGGACGCUAAUACCGCAUACGUCCUACGGGAGAAAGCAGGGGACCUUCGGGCCUUGCGCUAUCAGAUGAGCCUAGGUCGGAUUAGCUAGUUGGUGAGGUAAUGGCUCACCAAGGCGACGAUCCGUAACUGGUCUGAGAGGAUGAUCAGUCACACUGGAACUGAGACACGGUCCAGACUCCUACGGGAGGCAGCAGUGGGGAAUAUUGGACAAUGGGCGAAAGCCUGAUCCAGCCAUGCCGCGUGUGUGAAGAAGGUCUUCGGAUUGUAAAGCACUUUAAGUUGGAGGAAGGGCAGGUAAAUUAAUACUUUGCUGUUUUGACGUUACCGACAGAAUAAGCACCGGCUAACUCUGUGACAGCACG